GGUGCCCUGGUGCCUGCCCAGGCUGCUUUCACACUGACCAUGGCAAGAGGAGACAGAAUGCCUCGUGCACACCUCAGCCCAGAAUUCGUUCUGGUCUGUGUUGUGAUAGGGGGAAGGACU
rnacentral:snoRNA from 1 species